rnacentral:rRNA from 1 species
AGAUAAAGAACCAAUAUUUUUGGUGACUCAUAAUAACUUUACGGAUCACAUUAUGUGACAUAUCAUUCAAGUUUCUGACCUAUCAGCUUUAGACGGUAGGGUAUUGGCCUACCGUGGCUAUGACGGGUAACGGGGAAUUAGGGUUCGAUUCCGGAGAGGGAGCCUGAGAAACGGCUACCACAUCUAAGGAAGGCAGCAGGCGCGCAAAUUACCCAAUCCUAAUACAGGGAGGUAGUGACAAGAAAUAACAAUACAGAACCUUACGGUUUUGUAAUUGGAAUGAGUUAAGUAUAAACCCCUUAACAAGUAUCAAUUGGAGGGCAAGUCUGGUGCCAGCAGCCGCGGUAAUUCCAGCUCCAAUAGCGUAUAUUAAAGUUGUUGCAGUUAAAAAGCUCGUAGUUAAUCUUCUGUUAAUUUUUAUAUAUAAUAUUUCGAUAUUUAUAUAAUAUUAACAUAAUUCAUAUUACUUUUUAGUAUAUGAAACUUUACUUUGAGAAAAUUAGAGUGCUUAAAGCAGGCUAUUGCCUUGAAUACUCCAGCAUGGAAUAAUAUUAAGGAUUUUUAUUCUUCUUAUUGGUUCUAGAAUAAAAAUGAUGAUUAAUAGGAACAGUUGGGGGCAUUUGUAUUUAACAGUCAGAGGUGAAAUUCUUAGAUUUGUUAAAGACAAACUACUGCGAAAGCAUUUGCCAAGGAUGUUUUCAUUAAUCAAGAACGAAAGUUAGGGGAUCGAAGACGAUCAGAUACCGUCGUAGUCUUAACCAUAAACUAUGCCAACUAGAGAUUGGAG